UAGUGGGGGGAAUCAAAUAUCUCUUGGUGGAAGUGUAGAUGAGGGCCUUCUCAACAAAUGCCUAGAAAAUCAGCAAGUUUGAUUGGCUAGGGAGAGAGAUCGGGCGAAAAUGAGCUUUGGAGCAACAAUGGAGCUUGGGGAGGUGAGAGGUAGUCUUCUUGGGGAAGAAGCCCCCUUUAUAUAGUGGGGGAAAGAAUCCAACCGUUACCCCACUCUCAGCCCGAGCAAAGCGGUACUAACACUGCUAGGAGCGGUACUACCGCACGGUAGAUCCACCAACCACGGAAGUAAAAAAAAUACUUCCGUGCCUACCACCGCUGAGCCUGCGGUUGUGCAAAAGUCCGACCCAGUAGU
rnacentral:lncRNA from 1 species